GAAAAAUGAAGUACGACUGCAGAGCGGCAAAAAGGUCACAUUUGGAAAAACAAACUAUACGACGACAGCGUCCUCGUUUGAUAUCCUGAUUGGCAAUCUUCAAAUGCAGCCAAACAAAGAGGAACAAAAGGAGACAAACAAAGGAAAGGUAAAAUUGAAGUUGUCAGUUUGUACCUGAGUUGUCCCAAACUAUCCCAUUCUGCAGCCAGGCGGGGUUUCUGUCAGUCGGCAGCAAACUUUUGCAUCUCUCUGCCUCUGUCUCCUCCGCCUUUCCAGAUCUUUGUCUGGACUUUGAAAGAGCUUCUGGUCUGAGGAUGAGAAUGACACAGUGAGAGGACAAAUACAGAUAUUAAAAUCAUUCACAAUUUAGUGCUGAAGAGGAGGGGGAAGGAGGCAGGUGCAGGGUGAAAAUUAAAGGCGGUGUUUGAUCUCAGCGGAAAAAAGAAAUGAUGUAUGAAUGCUUGUAAAGCUUAGGAGGAGGCAUGUUGUUCUUUUGUGUGAAUGUUGGAGCACACAAAGACUAAGACUGACUUGUCUUCAGUUUGACCCUCUGUACCAUCUCAUGAUAGUUUCUCUUUAUUUGUUUACUUUAGAGAUAUGCAAGGUCAAAUAUAGAGCUCUAAAAAUGCCCUUAUAUAAGGACUAUUAGAAGAAACUGUUUCCUUAAGUGAUUUUAUUUGUUAAUACUGGUUGAAAAGUGGUCAUAAAGUGCAUUAGAAAAGGUAAUAUGCCCACUGACUUACUUUCACAUCACUUACAUCUCAGCAGAAUCCACUGUUUGCCACCUUUUUCUCACUGAAGUGCUAAAAAUCGGAGUAAAUGCAGCUGUUGUGUGAAGAAACUAGUGUAAUCAGGAUUUCUCUAAUGAAGGAAUUUAUGUGGAAACAGGAAAGCAACAGUUUUUUAUGAAUCAAUUGUUAUCUCAAUUUCCCAUGAGUGCAAAUUGCUGUCCUUAAAUUGCUUUCUUUUUUCAAAUACAAAGAAACACAAAUCAUACAAAAAUGUCUGGAAAAAAGUACAAAUUUUCACACUUAAGAUGCUGGAACAAACUAAUUUCAGAUGUUUUUGCUUGAAAAAAUCAAUAAAAUGAAUAAUUAGAUUCUCUCAGUUUUCAUCAUCGAUUCUCUCCCAAUCAGUUUGCACCACCUGAUAUGUAACCAAGCCAGAACUUGACCAUCAUUGUCCAUUCUUCUCUAAACUCCUCUGUUAUCCUUUGCACAGUACAAUUGUGUUUCCUAAUCCACACUGCAGCGUGCAUGCUUUGCUUCUUCAUAAUGUCAUACCCAUUUUCUGCUUCCUCGCUCGCAAACACCAUAUUCAUGCACAAUUUGACAUAAUAGCAGAGUUAAAAACAGGAAAUUAUAAGGUAAUGUCUCACCGAGGGCUAUAGUCACAUUAAAAAAUGCUCUCCCAGUGAUCUGUAAGAUUGCUCGCUGCAGUGAGGUUUAAUAGUUUGAGCAUAGCACCCCCUGCAGGCACGUAUUAUUCUUUCCUAAUAACACCCUCAGUGCUCGGACUGAAGCAGAGCCUCUCAUUGUUACCCUUUCACUGCAAUUACAGGCCUUUCUACUUUGAUUGGUGGGUAAUUGAAUUGGUUUGAGCCUGUAUGAUUUCCUUCCGAAUUUGCCACUCAUAUUCCAAUCUUGGCUCCGGAUCAGACAAAGGCCCGUCUCCCAGUAAUUAAAGACGCCAAAGCCAGGUGUAGAACUGGGGGAACUGGGGAACUAUAGCUGGAUGAAUGGGACUGAUUAGGUGUUUAGUGAAAAUGAGAUUUUCUGGCUCAAAGACAAAGUGCAGCCUCUCACUCGCUGCUCCGUGUUCGACGGGGAGGCAAUUGACUGCUGUUGAUGAGGAGCAUGAGGUAAAGGCCUGAAAAUGACUUUCUGCAUUCAGAGCAUUUACAAAAGGAGCCAAAGUGUGAGUUAAAACCUGAGAGAUACUUUUCAAGCAUGUAACAGGCAGGUAAUCAGGGGGAAAAGUAGCUGUUUUAGAUGCACGAAGAAACUGGUGAAACCUGACAAUAAAAAAGUGUAGACUGGUGCAACUUCUCUGUAAAACCGUACCAGUUUAAUCCCACCAGCUCUCGAAACAUGGAAAAUAUGUCACCUCUAAAUCCUAAAGUUUAUCUAGUCAUGGUUUAGAGAUUAUUUUGAUUGGUAAAACUUGUCAAAGAAAAUAGUGGCAGGUUGUAGCUUCAGUAAAAAAACAGCAAGUUGUAGACACAUUUAAAAGUCAGUUAAAUGUCAAAUAGGCUUCACAGAUUUCAGCACAGAUUGAGAAAUGGUCAGUUUUAGGAUCACUCUGUGGAUUUUUCAUUUUGCUUCUGAAUUCAGCUCCGACAAUUUAGGGCAACAAAAGUUUAAUAAAGAAUGCUGUGAUCUCAAAACUUUCAAGGAAGAAGAAAAGUUUGAGUUUUAUUUUUCGCAGAAUAGCUUUGUAGAUAAAAUGAGAUGAAUGUCUAUGUUGGCAGACUGAAUCACUUCUCUUCCUACUCUCUUUUUUGAUUAGGGUCCCCAUUAGCACCAACAUAAACAUCAGCUUUUCUUCCUGGGGUCCAACACACACAGUAUAACUCAAUAAAACAGAUGCAUGAUAGUUAAUUCCAAGACAAGGGUACAAAAAAUACAUUCACGCUUUGCUAAACAAGCGUGUUUUGGUUUCCCCAAAAUUUGCAUGUAAUUUCGUUUGUUUAAAUGCCAGAAAAUGUUCAAUAAUAAAUCCAGUUUUUAACGACUCAAUGCUUCAUGAUGAAAGUUUUUUUGAGCAUUAAGGCAGAGGCAUUCACAAAAAAAUUCUUAGUUAGAGUCUUCUUUCUACCUUGUCCUUGCUGAUUAUACCAAGACUUUCCUUUACUCUUAAAUACUUGUAACAUUUUCAGCUUUUUAGUGAAUAUCUGCCUUUAAAGGACAAGGUAAUUGAUCAAACAUUCAAGUAUUUCAAAGAUAUUACCAACUGAAUUAUUGGGGCAAUUCUGCAAACAGUUUGAAGUCAACCACAUACACUAGAUGUCACGAAUUGUGCAAUAUUUUCAUCAGUUUUUGGUUGAAGUAACCAAGAAAAUAAUUUUCAGUUGUUCAUGGUACAAAAAACCCCCACUCAAAAAUAAGGGGCCCUUCCUUCCUGCAUAUUCACACCACAUUCCACACUUCCAUUAAAAGUGAAUGAGGCAACAACACCGUGCACUGGUUAGAGGUUAACGACAGCUGUGGUCGAGUCAAGGUCAGCGUACUUUGAGUGGUGGAUGUACGCCAACUGACUGAGUGGAAAAUGAGAGUUUUUUCCCCCUUCAUUGAGACUGGAAUGGAUUUUAAUCAACACAUUAUGCCAGUUGUUAAUUGCUUUUGCCGCCUGCUGCUAAAAUAAUUUGCUACUUUUUUAUUGUAGUAGUAGCCAUCUGUUUCAAAACAUGGGGACAGGAUCGGGCCCCGGACCUGGGGUGGAUGUUGACAUGAGAUACAGGCGGCUAAUUUGCACUGCCGCCACCUUAUUUAUGAGGCGAAGAAUGUGUGGAAAGGAGGGAAAGAUUCACGACGAGGGGCUAAAACGGGGAGCGGACAGGGCAAUCUGACUAGAUUUACGGAAACACUUGAUCCAUAUUCACAUGAGGGAAAGGAGCCUUCAUUUAGACUGUUUCUUAUACCUGCAGAUAAAAUGUUUAGUCACUACUAUACAGACUAUCAGCCAGAUAAAGUAAUACAACUUUUCCUUUGAGAAUCAAUGAGCUCCUCUUGAGGCGUCUAUUUGUUUGCUUCAAUUGCUUGAGGCUGAAGACACAAACUCUAAACAAUGCCUAGAAAGGAUGAUAAUGAAGAGCUUAGUGAGGAGACAUUUACCCUGUAUUUACUCUGAUUGGGUUUCCUGUUCAGGGACACAGCUCUGGUGGUAUGGGGGGGUUACUGGUCAUAAUGGCCCCUCUCUUCCAUUAAGGGUUAAGGUCAGGGCCAGUUUAUUACUUUUUGUCUCUUCUGGUUUCAAUAAAAGUUUCUAUUUGGUGGCUCUGACUCAGUGGUAAAAUGGACCACCCUCUAUCUAGUUGGGAGGUUGUGGGUUUGAUCUCCACCUCCUUUGGUCUAGAUUCGGCACCCUGGCUCUUGAAGGAAUAGCCUGCAGUGUGUUAGUGAGUGUGUGUGUGAAUAAUUAAUUGUACAGUAGCCUUGCAUGGAUCUUAAUUAGUGCACCAACAUGUGAGUGGCAUGUAGUGUAAAGUGCACGAGUAGACAGAAGGCAAUAGAGCUGUUGUAAAAGACAGUCCAUUUUUUAAUUUGUUUGCAAAUAUGGAUUUAGUUACUGGUGGCAAACAUGAGAUCAGAUAUGCAAUUAAAGUAUCAUCUUACAUUGUGCUCACCAUUAUGUGCAAUGUUACAUUUAAGUAUCGUCUCAUAUACUCUUUUUUUUAAUCGUGUGCAUUGGAAUUUUUUUGUCAUGUAAAAUAUUGCUUCUUAGUAUUUUUGUAUAAUUUUGUCCAUCAUUCAUCCUGUUCAUACUUUCCAGAUCAGGUUCUUUCUUACUGCAGUUUUGUCUCAUUGUUCAUGAUCAUGUACAAUAUUACUCACUAUAUUCUUGUGGAUUAUCACUUUCCAUUACUGCUAUCAUAUCCCUUUCACUAUCGUGUACAAUCACUAUCCAUAAUAUGUGCAGGAUUGCUUAUUCACAGUCAUAUAUUUUAUCAUGUGAAGCAUUACUUUCCAAUAUCGGGCUAUUAUUUGCUCAAUAUCAUAGACAUUUUUAAUUAUUUAAGGUGUAAUGCGGCAUUGGAAUAUAAUUUUUGGUGUAAAAUAACUUUUUAUUUUCAUGCACAAAAUGCACAAAACUAUUUUUUUUUGGGGGGGUUUUUACAAAAUAAUUUGAGACACAUUUAUUACCUUGUGCAACACAAUUUUUUUCUCUAAUGUGCAAUAUUUUAAUCCACAUCAUGUUAAAAGUGUUUUUUUAUUACUGUGUCUUUUUAUCUUUAACUUUGUCUAUUACAUUAAGUGUAUUACAUCAAGUGCAAAACUACUUUUACUUUAUGUGCAGUUUGACUUACUGGUAUUUGACACAUUUAAUCACAACCACGUGAACAGUAAUGUAUGAUGUCUGUCGUUAUCUUUGCAUUCUCUAUUAGUUUUUAUGUAAUUUCUAUUGCUCCUUUUCAGCUAAUCUGCUCAUGUUUCUAACUCAUAUACAAAGCUGAUGUUGAUUUAUUUGACGUUAGUUAAAUCUGAAAUACUUUAUAUUCUGCAGACUGGGCAAGUCUCAAGACUGAAUUUGCAGCUUGAGUCUGACUCAAGUCGAGCCAUGUGCAUCAAGUCCACAAUCUCUGGCUCACACAGCGGUGAAAGGACUGAAGUGCAGAAUAUUUGGA